rnacentral:rRNA from 1 species
GAUGAACGCUGGCGGCGUGCCUAAUACAUGCAAGUCGAGCGAAGCGGGGACGGGUGAGUAACACGUGGAUAACCUCCUAUAAGACUGGGAUAACUUCGGGAAACCGGAGCUAACCCGGAUCCUUAUCGCUGGAUCCGCUCUGCAUUAGCUAGUUGGUAAGGUAACGGCUUACAAAGGCAACGAUGCAUAGCCGACCUGAGAGGGGGAUCGGCCACACUGGAACGGAGACACGGUCCAGACGCCUACGGGAGGCAGCAGUAGGGAAUCUUCCGCAAUGGGCGAAAGCCUGACGGAGCAACGCCGCGUGAGUGAUGAAGGUCUUCGGAUCGUAAAACUCUGUUAUUAGGGAAGCGGUACCUAAUCAGAAAGCCACGGCUAACUACGUGCCAGCAGCCGCGGUAAUUC